GUAGUCUCGCACAGAUGCAUAUCAAUAAGCGGAGGAAAAGAAACUAACAAGGAUUCCCCUAGUAACGGCGAGUGAAGCGGGAAGAGCUCAAAUUUGAAAUCUUAAAGGGUUUCCCUUUACGAAUUGUAGUUUAAAGAAGUGUUUUCUGUUGAGGUUUUGGUAAAAGUUCUUUGGAAUAGGACAUCAUAGAGGGUGAGAAUCCCGUAUUUGACCUUUACUUUCAACUUUGUGAUACACUUUCAAAGAGUCGGAUUGUUUGGGAAUGCAGUCCAAAAUGGGUGGUAAAUUUCAUCUAAAGCUAAAUAUUGGCGAGAGACCGAUAGCGAACAAGUACCGUGAGGGAAAGAUGAAAAGAACUUUGAAAAGAGAGUUAAACAGUACGUGAAAUUGUCAAAAGGGAAGCGUUUGACACCAGUGUUGUUUUUCUGAAAAUCAAUUAAAGAACUGUUUAUGCUAAGUUGUUUAGACUUUAUCAGCUAACUGUUUAGUUUUGAGCUUUUCUUUAAUGCACUUUUCAGUUAACAAGUCAACAUCAAUUUCUUUUGCUGUAAAAAAGCUUGAGGAAGGUGGCUUGAGAUUCGUCUUAAGUGUUUAUAGCCUCUUGCCUAUGCAGUCGGAGAGAUUGAGGUCUGCAGCGUAGAUCCUUCGGGGCUAAAUGCAUUUGUGCUAAGUUAUAACAUUUUAUAGACAACUUGUUGACUAUGAUUUGUCUUGUAGCUUACUCGCUUAUGUUAUUUUACCUACGCUUAGGAUGUGACAGCAGUAUAGACUGU
rnacentral:rRNA from 1 species